GUGGGGAAUAUUGGACAAUGGGCGAAAGCCUGAUCCAGCAACGCCGCGUGAGGGAUGACGGCCUUCGGGUUGUAAACCUCUUUCAGCAGGGACGAAGCGCAAGUGACGGUACCUGCAGAAGAAGCACCGGCCAACUACGUGCCAGCAGCCGCGGUAAUACGUAGGGUGCGAGCGUUGUCCGGAAUUAUUGGGCGUAAAGGGCUCGUAGGCGGUCCAUCGCGUCGGGAGUGAAAAGCUGGGGCUUAACCCCAGUCCUGCUUUCGAUACGGGUGGACUAGAGGUAGGCAGGGGAGAAUGGAAUUCCUGGUGUAGCGGUGAAAUGCGCAGAUAUCAGGAGGAACACCGGUGGCGAAGGCGGUUCUCUGGGCCUUACCUGACGCUGAGGAGCGAAAGCAUGGGGAGCAAACAGGAUUAGAUACCCUAGUAGUCC
rnacentral:rRNA from 1 species